rnacentral:rRNA from 1 species
CCUACGGGAGGCUGCAGUGGGGAAUAUUGGACAAUGGGCGAAAGCCUGAUCCAGCAAUACCGCGUGUGUGAAGAAGGCCUGAGGGUUGUAAAGCACUUUCAAUAGGAAGGAAUACCUAUCGGCGAAUACCCGGUAGACUGACAUUACCUAUACAAGAAGCACCGGCUAACUCCGUGCCAGCAGCCGCGGUAAUACGGAGGGUGCAAGCGUUAAUCGGAAUUACUGGGCGUAAAGCGUGCGUAGGCGGUUAUUUAAGUCAGAUGUGAAAGCCCCGGGCUUAACCUGGGAACUGCAUUUGAUACUGGAUGACUAGAGUUGAGUAGAGGAGAGUGGAAUUUCAGGUGUAGCGGUGAAAUGCGUAGAGAUCUGAAGGAACACCAGUGGCGAAGGCGGCUCUCUGGACUCAAACUGACGCUGAGGUACGAAAGCGUGGGUAGCAAACAGGCUUAGAUACCCCAGUAGUC